rnacentral:rRNA from 1 species
UACGUAGGGGGCAAGCGUUGUCCGGAUUUAUUGGGCGUAAAGAGCGUGUAGGCGGCCAGGUAGGUCAGCUGUGAAAACUCGAGGCUCAACCUCGAGACGUCGGUUGAAACCACCUGGCUAGAGUCCGGAAGAGGAGAGUGGAAUUCCUGGUGUAGCGGUGAAAUGCGCAGAUAUCAGGAAGAACACCCGUGGCGAAGGCGGCUCACUGGCCCGGUACUGACGCUGAGGUGCGAAAGCGUGGGGAGCAAACAGG